rnacentral:lncRNA from 1 species
UUAUGAUUGAUAGAAAAGAAGGAACUAACUCGAUAUUUGAGAUCUCUUGGCUGCUGAUGCCACUGAGCUUCAAUUGCAAACUCAUCUAGCAAAUCAUCAGCGUCAUAAGCUGCAUCCUUGAUGUCUCUGAGCCACACCUUUAUAGGCUCACUCUUCCACUGCUUCUCCUCUGCAUCUUGCAGCACAGCUCGAAUAGUUCUGAACGUGCGGUUGAGAUUUUCAAGCUCGGUCUCUAGGCCCCCAGCAAGUCCAAGCUCUUGAAGAAUUGGGGAAUUCAAGUUCCCCAUGAUUGUACUCGCGACAGCAGAAAUAAUUGCAUCAGCCAUAGCUUGUUAUCGAAUGGAAAAUAAUUGGAUGUUGACAAGAAGUAGAAAAUGUGCAAGGAUAACCAAAAGCAGGGAUGAGGAAACAGAGCAGUGUGGGAUGAGAAAUGGCAAAGGUGAAAGUGUAUGGUGAUGAGCUUUUCUUCUACUAUCGAUCUCUUUUCAUUAGUGAUUGAUAAUGUGAUGGAUCCAUUUCAUUAUUAGUGAUCUCUUCGCUGCAGUUUCAGAGAAGGAACGUGGCUGUGUUUGCUUAUUGGUUAGUAAAAGUCUUCGUCCCGCACUGGCCAGGCCGCUUGGGCUCCACACGGAUAUUAAGUAAUAUUCUAAAAGUAGUUUCCCCGCGCCUUUUACUUAUUCUACUGUACACAUAACCCGCAAUGUUGCGGAUUACUUUUUUAUAAAAAAUAUUAAAAAAAUAAAAAUUUAAAAAUUUUGAGUUUUUCUGCAAAGCUAUACUAAAAAAUCUUGAGUUUAGCUGCAACACUUAAUCUAAGAGUAAUAUUUAUAAUGUUAAUAAUAAAAUUAAACUUGCAUGAUCCAAGUUUAAGUUAGUCUGGCUGCAACAUCGGACCCAAGAAUAUUGGAUGUGGGUCUGACUAUAAGAUCGUGUCAUAAAAAUAUGAUAAUUAAAUAGAUUAAUUAAAAAAAUAAAGAAAAAAAAUCAAUAGAAAGAAAAAAACUAAUAAAGAAAAAGAAAAAAAAUGAAUUAAUUAGGUUAACCCUUUAAACCAGGUUAUCCCGUAAAACCUGAGAUUCACGUCAUAAAAGUUUGAUAAUUAAAUAGAAAAAAAAAUGACGGGUUUACCCAGAAUUAACUGGGUUAACCUAUCAAAUCAAGUUAACUCGUCAAGCCUAGGAUACGUGUUAUGAAAGUAUGAAAGUCUGAUAAUUAAAUAGAAAGAAAAUUAACUUUAACAAACUAAACUAAAUGAAAAAAAUAACUCGUCAAAUCAAGUUAACCUAUCAAACCCGAGAUCUGUAUUAUGAAAAUCUGAUAACUAAAUAAAAAAAUUAUCAUUAACAAACUAAAUCAAACAAAAAAAUUCAUUAAAAAAAUUAAAAAGAAAAAAAUAGUUAUAUAAUAUAAUAAUAAUAACAAUAAUAAGUAAAUAUAUUAGUAAAAGGCGUGACAUGCCCGCGCGAUGCCGCGGGCUUGUGGCAUGCUUAUACAUUAUCGUGGAUUUGUGAAAAAAAUCAUAUAAAAAAAUACAGUUAUCAUCCACAAUAUUUUAAAGGAAAAAACUACAAAGUUAUAUUCUCAACCAGCUCAAUAUUAAAAAAAACAAAAUCGACAAAAACAAUUAUGAAAAAAAACACACAAAAAAUGAAAACAAGAAGAUGACAAUUUUGGAAGAAAAAAGACAAAAAACAAAUAAUAAAAAAUAGGAAAAAAAACAUGUGGGGAAAGUUAAAGCUAAAUUUUCAACCAGCUUAAUAUUAAAAUCAUUUAAGAAAAUAUUGUAGCAAUUUAUAGUAUUUUGUAAAAAAAUAUAUAACUAUAAUUCUUAAACAGUUCAAUAUUAAAAAAAAAUUAAUAAAAAUAAUUUUGAUGGAAAAUAAUUGGAUGUUGACAAGAAGAAGUAGAAAAUGUGCAAGGAUAACCAAAAGCAGGGAUGAGGAGACAGAGCAGUGUGGGAUGAGAAAUGGCAAAGGUGAAAGUCUGGUGAUGGUCUUUACUGUUGCUAUUGAUCAAUUCUUCAUUACAUUAAAUGAAGGACGAAUUUUUUGCUUUUAGAAGUUGUGAUGUGAGCUUUAAACAAAUUAUAUGUUUGAAAAAAACCUACCAUACCUCCUAAGAAUGUUUUUAGCAGUGUGGUAACUGUUAUUUUUCAAAUAAUUUUUUGUACCGAAAGGUACGUCAAUGAUUUUUUUAUUUUUUAAAAAUUAUUUUUAACCAUAUUAAAUUUUAAUAAAAAAAUAAAAAAAAAAUUUACAUCUUAGAAACACAAGUUGAACCGUGUUUCCAAUCACUGCCUAAGCUGCCGUCCUUGACUAUUAUAUUGAUUAGGCUCCACACGGUCGAGACUUGACUAGCUGUGCUUACAAUAAAGCAAUUCAAUUUUCAAAGAAGGAACAUGGCUGUGAUUUGAAGACAAGAUUUGUCUGCCGGUGUGAACCCAAACUUUUGUUCAAAAUGUGAGCCAAAAUCCAAUCUAAAUUAAUUUAGUAUAUAAAAAAGUUGUAUUUUUUUUUUGUAGUUGUUAUAAUUCUCUCUCAUCAAUUAAAAAAUUUUAAUCUUUAAUAUUGAAUUUUUAGGUUUAAAAAAGGUAAAAAUAACAAGUAAGCAAUUCUUUUUCAUGUUUGGUUUGUUUAUGAAAAAAUUAAGAUUUAUAAAGAUUUGAAGUUUAUGUUUUUAAAAUGAAUUCAUGAUUAUUAUGAAUUUGAGGUUAAGUGAUUAAUUUUGGAUGUGUUGUUAGAAAUAAAAAUUUGUGAAUUAAUUUGUUAAGGGUUAAGAAAUUCGCUUCAACUUUGCUAGAAAAUAUGGACAAAAUAAUUUUGAGGUUGAAGAUAAAGAAAUUGUAUUUUGGUCCUUGAUUUAUAAAAAUUACAGUGUAGUUCCUAAACAUUGAAAAAUUAUAAUUUGACCUGUAACUAUAUUUUGGGAUUCUGAGUGGUAUUAUUAUGAGGUUAAGGAUAAUGACUCUCAGUUUAAUAAUUGAUUUAGGAUAUUUUUAGUCUGGUCCUUUAAUUUUGAAAGUUUACAUUUUAAUCCCUGAACUUUAAAGAAAUUAUAGUUCGGUCCCUGGUUCAUUUCUAGAUAGAAUUGAAAAUGGUUUGUUGGUAAAAUUUCAAUAUGGUUAUGUAUUUACAAUUUGCUUCAAUUUUGGUAAAAUUUUGUUUUGGCUCGUGAUUUCUAAAAAAUGUUGUUUUAGUCCUUAAACUCAUAAGAAUAAACCUGGUUUUAUUUUAUGCAUUGGAAUAUAUUUAUUUGUUGUUUUGGGUUGUUUUUUAGUAUAUUCUGGAUAUUUGUUAUAGGCUCUCCUAACAAUCAUCAAUAAAAUUUUCGGGUUUUUCAUUUGAUAUUCCUUUUAGUUAUAUAUUUUCUAAGUGAGUGAAAUAAUCUUUUUAAUAUUUAUAUAGGUUGCUUUAUUUUCUGAAUACUGAUUUAUUCUUGAAUUUAUACUCGCAUUCUAUUAAACUAAAUUAUAUUCGAUAUGAUAUACAUUUCUUUGAUGAUUCUGCGAAUACCUAGCUGGUAAGAGAGGCAUCAACUUGUUGUGACCGAUCCUCCCACAAUGAUCAUUUUCGGGUGUCAUAUGAUCUUUGACAUAUAUUCAACUACUUUAUAAUAAUAUGCUUAAUAUGUGAUCCUCCACAAUGAUCAUUUCGGGUGUCAUCUGAUCACCUUCGGGUAUCAUCUGAUCUUUGACAUAUAUUCAACUAUUUUAUAAUAAUAUGCUUAGUAUGUAUAUGUUUAUCAAGAUAAAUCAACUUGCAAACUAUUAAUAUCUAAAAUAUAUAUUAAAUAUUAUUCCCUCAAUGAGUUGGUUGCACUCACCUUUUAUUUUUAAUAUUAUUUUAGGUUUUUAGUUUCUGUUAGCAAGUGGCCUUUAUUGAGUAUUCUUGCUUCUUCAAUUUUGAUUGAUAUGUCUUGCUUAUUUUAUAAGACUUUCCUUUUAGUUUUGAUUCGAUGUAUUAGACACUUCAUUAUUACUUUAUUUUAAUUAAGUUUAGAUUUUAACAAUGUAAUAAGUAUUAUGAAUUUUUUUUUUAAUUACUGAUAAGAAGUUUUGAACUAUCAUUUAGUUUUAUUAAUUUUGAAUAAUAUAAUAUUUUUAAAGAUAAUGAAAUGCUAUAAAUUUUUAGAUAACUUAUUCUUUUAAUAUGUUUAUUUUAAAACUUAAUGUAAAUGAAAUAUUCUUUUGACAUCGUUUCUAUAUUAUUAGUCAUGAACUCGGGAUUCAUAACUUGAAUUGCCUUGUUUGUUAGCAAACAUCUUCUUCUCUACUCUCAUUUUUUUUAAUCAAUGGCCAGUGGCCGUCGGUGACCCCAUAUCCAUGUAGCCAAGCUGCGCACUGGCCAGACCCUCGGAAACACCAAUAUCUUCCAGCGCUAGUGAAUGCAAGUUGCCCAAGAUUGUAAUUGCAAGAGCAGAAACAAGUGCAUCAGCCAUGUUUUUAGGGAAUCCAUGAUCGAAGAACAGUGCAUAGUGAACUUUUUUUUCCCCGGAUUUAAUUCAAAUAAAUGUGUUACCUUCCAAUUAAUCUGGUAAUUACAGAAGAAAGAAGGGAUCUUGAAUAACAAGAAGAACAACAGAAGAAAAGAAACAGAGAGAAAGAGAAACUUUUAGUAACAUUCAACACUGGUUUUUUUUUUUUUUUUUUUUUUAACAAAAUCAACAUUCAACUCACACCAUUAAUAUUGUAUAUUUUUUUUUUUGUUAAUCAUAGGUACCCCAUGUUAGCUUUCACAUACCAAACGAAGUCUUUACAACCCGAAAUCAAUUUUUACAUAAGAUUAAAUUGCAUGUUUGAAACGCGGUGAAAAUUAUAUUCUAAAACUUUUAAUUCUUUACUUAAGAUAAAUUUUUUAUAUAUUUUUAUUAUUUUGAUGUAUUUUAUUAAAAAUAAUUUUUUUUAAAAAAAUAAAAAAUUUUAUUUUAAUAUAUUUAUAUACAAAAAAUAUUUUAAAUCACCACCAUUAUUUCAAUUUCAAAAAGAUAAAGCCCUGUGACCCGUGGCCCUAAAAGAUUUAAUGCUAGAAAAAUUCAAACAGGAGAAAGCAAACCUCCAAGCCCAUAACUAAAUACGGCUAGACCAACUCUUUGAGUUUCUAUUUACAUUGUUUGCUUGCUAUUGAUACUUCAUUCAUGGACAGACCGGAGUCCAGCCUGACGUGCAGCAUCACGAACUUCAGGUUUCUCAGUUCGCCUCUUCUGUAUGAGUAUGACCUCCAAAGUAGCACCUACAAUAGACCUUGAGAAAGGCUUUUUUGUAGCACGACGUCUCUUCGUAAAAGUUUCAGCAGCAAUGUCCUGUAAUUAUUAGGAAAGUUGUAUCAAAAUCAACAUCAUGAGUUCUUAUCUAAAGGGAAACUCAUCCUACAAAUAGAAGUUAAUUGGAAACUACAAAAAAAUAGUCACCUUCUUAUGUUGCUUCCUGUACAUUCUGUCCAGGUUAACUUUGAGGGCUUCCACCUGCUGUGGAAGUAUCUCUUGCAUUUAGAGUUGGCAAAGAGGAAGACCUUAAUUGAUUGAAAAAGCACCACUUAUUAGUUUCAUGGAUUGUAUUGCAGAAGAUAUUAAAUAAAAACAAAACACAAUACGCCUUCGACUCCGAACUGCAAAUUACCUGGGAAUCUGAGCGAACGAAUCUGAUGCCCUUGCCAGGAUAUGUCUUCGCCCCACUGAACCGGCAGAGUUCAGUCCUGAAAUCUUCCAGACCAGACAAGUUUGAUGCUCGUCAUGAUAACAUAUUGAAAACCUCAGAUGAGAUCAUUUGCAUAUAAAAAUGCUUCAUUCCAAGACAUAUAAGUUUGAUGGUUAACAAUGGCGUAUCUAAAACCUCGAUGAGGUUAUUCGCACGGUCAUGACGAAUAUUCUCAGAGGUGCAUCAGAUCCUAAAACCCCUUGGCAGAGGUCCAAAAACCCUUUCAAGUGGUCACAGACAGCAGGAAACAAUGAACUCUCGUCCCAACUUCAACUUCAUUGAAGCCUUAGCCAUUCUGUUCUCUUUGCUAUGUUUUCACUAGAAGCAUAUUUAUGGAAGAGAAAUCAUGGAUCUUUGGAACAACAUCUGCAUAAAUCUAAUUCAAACUCUAUCAUUGCAAUCCCUUUUGAAUUUCAUCACUUUUUUUUAAAAAAAAAAGUGCUAAAAAGAAUGUAAAGUUUCUGAGAGUUUUCUUUCUUUUGCCUUGUUAGGAAAUUCUUUAUUAAGAAUGUAUAAAAAAAGAGUAAAUGGAGCUUUGCUUUGUUCUAGAUGAGCAUCCAUGCAUGGUUUAAUAAGUAGAGAAUAAAAUCUUCCAUGAAAGCUUUAGUGUGAUAGACUUGAAUUACAACAAAGAAACUGACAAGCUGAGCACUAGAAAAGAUCAUUCAAGAUCUCAAUUAUGAAGGUUAAAACCAAAGCAUAAAGCAUAUUAUACAUUACAGCAAAAUCUAAUCGAUCAUAGUCCAAGAUCUUACAUUUAUGCUCACCCCCUAUCCUUGUGCAUAAAAACAAAAAAACAAAAUUAGGUUUAAAAGCUACUAUUUAAACUGUAUUACAUAUAUAUAUAUAUAUAUAUAAAAUUUCAUAUCAAAACCAUAUAAAAAAAAUUAAGAUCUUAAAUUUAUGCUCACCCCUAUCCCUAUUUUUUGUAAUCAAGAUUCCUGAAAAGUAUGAUCUCAAAGCUACCUAUGUUUGAGUGAUUUGUACCGUACCAAAAUUUUAAUUCAUGUGCGCUAACUUGAAAAGCAAAUGAUCUGAAAUCAAAAUGGAACACAUGACUAGUGUGAUUAUGGACAUGUUGCAAGAAAAGGUUUUUACUCAAGAAAUUACUCGAAAAAAAGGUGAAAGAUGUUGUUCGGACGUAUAUUAGGAAUUUUAAUGAUUAUCAAUUACAGGUUGAAAGCUUUAGAAAAUAUUAGUUUGGGAAGGUAUGUUCUUCCCAAACUAGCUUUACAAAAUGUUAGACGGAGAAAUAUUGCAUUUGAGCAGGAAAUUGUAGUUUUACACAUAGUUUUAAAACCCGGACCGGCCCGGCGGAUUGACCUGGGACCCGGCCGACCCGGGCAUGGGACCGGUCUGGGUGGAGGUCAAAACCCGCUUGGGAAUUGGUCCGGCCAGACCCGGUCGACCCGAGACCCGGCCGCAAACCCGUUAACUUUUUUUUUUUGUUUUUUUUUGUGUUAAAACGACGUCGUUUUGAUUUUUUAAAAAAAAAUUAAAAAAUAAAUUUUGACCCGGCCGACCCGGUCAAAAUCCGAAACCCAGGCCUUAGACCGGGCCGGGUCUUAAAACUAUAGUUUUACCUUUUCUUACUCUUGUUUCAAGAAAUUUGAAGUACUCUUCUAUUUGUGAAUAAUUUAAUAUUUCUUUAAGUGUAUUUUUUAUUAUUUCAUGUCAAAACCAUAUAAAAAAAAACAAUUAAAAGGGCACAGUUUUGAUAUUUUUAUGGAAAAAAUUAAUUAACAAAAUAUUUUCAAUUAUAUUACUAAACAUGCAUCUAAGCGACAUGACUCACUUGUUUUUGGUUGGUGCAUGUUACAUACGUUAAUGACCAUUAAUAAUUUUUUUUUAUUAUUGAAUUUGUUUUAUUGAAUUUUUUUUAAUUAUAUUAAAAAUAUUAUUAUUAAAGUUUCAAUGUGUUUUCAAUUCUCUUUUCUCUUUCUUGUUGAAGUUUGUAAAACUAUUUUUUAUGUAUUUUUUAAAUAGAUGCACUUUCUAACUAUAAGAAUUUGAAAAAAUCACAAGUGGAAAUUGCUAUUUACAUCAAAUUAGAAUAAUUUUAAAAUAUUUUUCUUUGUGUUAAUUAGCUAUUUAAAAAAACAAAAAAAAUGUGAUUUUAUUUUUAAAAAACUCCCAUCUUAUAGCAUUGGAUUAGGAUAAAGGUGCUUUCAAAAUUUGUGCGUAGAAUAUGUUCUUUCUAAUAUUCCGAUCAAUGACCAUCCAAUGGGUUUCUUGUAACCAUCAUCAAUCCAAUAUUGGAGAUAAGGUUUCCAGAAUCAUAAAGCCCUGCCGUUUUGGCACCUGAUGCCAACAUUAUUGGCCUACAGAAAGACAAUCAAAACUACUAAAGGCCAAUCACCGCCAUGCGAGUAAAGAUAUGUUUCGGAUUGAGUUUUGAAAAUAUUUUUGAAAAAAAAUGAUUUUUUUUUUAAAAAUCAAGGUAAUAUAAUGGGUCAUGUAUACAAAUAAAAUUACUGACAUAACUGAUUUCGUUUGUAAAAUCCAUCAAUAAAUUCAUUUGUAAACUGUUAACUUCUUCCUGACACUGUUUAUCAUGUCAAUUAUAAAGAAAAUCAUUGACAAAAUAUUCUUUUGAUAUUUCUUAGAGAACUUUGCAACUAUUUACUUUCCAAUUGCACUAUUAAUUAUUAUUUUUUAUAGAUAAAAUCACUGACGGAUUGAAAAUUUAUCGGUGUUAUCUGGCGGGUUUCUGAAAAUCUUUUAUUAAAUUAAAUAUUACAGACGAAAUCACCGAUGGAUUGAAAAGUUGUAGGUGAUAUUUGGCGGUUUCUGAAAAUUUUGUAUUAAAUUGAAAAUUUAAAUUAACUAUUACAGACGAAAUAAUUGACGGAAUGAUUAAAAAUAUUAAUAUUUAAUUAUUCAUCUGUAAAACACCCAAUAAAAAGACUAGAAUCCUUUAUUUCACAAUAGACGUGCCUCUUUUUUCUUCUUCUUCUUUUUUUUUUUUUUAAAAAAAAACAUCAACAUCCCUUUCUUUCUCUUCUCUCCUCAACUCCUUAUUUAUUUAUUUAAACGCUGCUUUUCAUUUUUAUUUUAAUGCUAUGUUUGUUUAUGAAGUUGCAUCUGUGUUUGAAGCAAAACACAGGAGUAACAUAUUUGAUAAUAAAAAAAACAUCAUUUACUGUUUAUGGGCCCCAUUGUUAUCCACCUUUGCAACGCAGAAUGAGACAAAGUAGCUCUUCGCUGCUUUUGUGGAGAGUGAAAAGUGGAGGGUGACUCCACUAUUCCGGUUGGAAUGGGUCCAAUUCAAAGCUAAAAAUGCAUUGAACCGGAUCCGAUCCAGUAAAAUAAAAAAAUCAUUUUUUUUAUUUUUAAUUGUGUUUUAUUAAAAAAAAAUUAGUGUUUUAACAUUAUUCAAUGACAUUAUAUAAAUUAUACGGGGAUUGCUUAAUGACGUAAUAUUUGUAGAAUUUGAUCAUAAUCCUAAUUUUAUUCAUGAUGUUGUUGUGCGCUUAAGAAACCAAGAAAACUGUAGUCAUUGUUGAAUGUAUUUCAUAUGUAAUGGAAUUGUAGAUAGUUUAAUGGAACAAUAAAAAAUAUUUUAUAUAAAGUAUUAUUUAUUUUAUGAUGUAAUAACAGUAAUUAAAUCUACAAUAUUUAAAUUAAAAACCAUCAAUAGUAAUAUAUAUUUUUUGAAAUUAUUUUAUAAUCUCAAUUUGAAAAGCAUUCUUAACCAAAUACAUUAAACUAUUUUUUAGUUCAACUUUAAUUUUAACCAAACAUAUAUAAAUAUCAAACCAACCUUAACUAAAAAUACUUUUUAUAAAAUACAUUUUUCAAACCACAACCAUAAAAGCUACCACAAUACCAAACACACUCCAGGUGUGUUUAUUUCUUGGAAAGUGGUUUCCCAGAAAUCACUUUCCAAACUUUCAUGUAUUUAUUUGCCAUUAUGAAAGUUGAUCAACAGAAAACACUUUCCAGUCAAAGAAAAAUUUGGCUUGGUUUCCAGGAAAGUGUUUUCCUUUUAUUUUGGGCGAAAAACACUUUCCGGAAGUUGUGAAAAAUUUAGAAAUGUCAUAUUAUUUGUUGAUUAUAUCAAAUUUGGUCCUCAAACUUUUGAUUGCUAUAUAUAUUUUGUUUUGAAUAUUUGUUUUUCAAUUUCAUCCCUUAGAAUUGAAUUUUUAUAUAAACUUUGGUCCUCAUUUUUAUUUUGCUUUUCCCUUAUUAUUUUUUAAUUGGAAUUUUUUAUCUAUCAAAUCUGGUCCUCAUUCUUUUGAUUGUUAUUUAUUUUAUUUGAAAUAAUUUAUGAAAUGAUAAUUAUUAUUAUUUUAAUUUCUUCAUCUUUUUAUUUUUUUAUUUUUUAGAUUUGAUCUCUAUUAUUUUGAUUAUUAUUUAUUUUAUUUGAGAUAAUUUAUAAAAUUAUAUAUAUUUUUUUAAUUUCAUUCUCAUUCAACUUUUUAAUUUGUAAGAUUUAUUCCUCAUUAUUUUAAUAAAUUUUAAAAAAUAAAAUAUUAAUAAGUUAUUUUCCAGCUCAUUUUCCAUGACAUAACCAAAUACUAAAAAGUAUUUUCUAAUUUAUUUUUCAUGAUACUAUCAAAUAUUGAAAAAUAAUUUAUUUUUCUAAAAUUUAAUUUUUUUUAAAAAAUUUACUUUUCAGUAAAUAAAUAGGAACUUAACUGACACCUCCCAAGUCCUAACGGAUAUCAUGGACCCGUAGGGUAGAUAUUGCCCCUUAGGAUCUUGCUUUCUUCUUCUAAGGCCCGCAUGUUGAUAUUGACCAUCUUGGGCACUUAUGGAACUUGGCCUGGGUUGACAGGUCGACCUGCGACCUGUUUACCCGGGCAUUCAAACUGGAUUGGAAAUUAAUUUUGUUAAACAAAGGUGAUAUGUUCUAUCAAUUCAUAAUUAUCGAUUCGAUUGAUCUAAUUAAUUUUUUUUUAUAUAAAAAACAACUUCGUUUAUUUAUGUUUAUUUAAUUAUUUAUAACUUUUUAUGCCUAAACGAGCCUGGACUUGGAUCGAAUCAGAUGACGAGCCUGGUCUGAUAACUUAGCCUUGAAGUUUAUUCUGUUAGAUCAUUAUUGUUUACUGUGUUAGGCAACAGAUAUCCCUCUAUUCAUACUCAGCUUAAUUUUUCAAUUUUGACUUUUAAAAAUAUGGAGAGAUAUAUGUCAAAUUCCGAUCGGUUCUGAUUUUAAGGAAAAAUAAAAAUUUAUUAAGAAUUCAAAAACAAAUUCAAAAAAUGCUAUUUUUUAUAUAAUUUGAAAAAAUAUAUAUUCUAAACUUUGUUUUAUAAAGCUAAAAAAUUACUAAAAAAUAUAUUUAAUUUAUAUUUAUGUAUACGAUAAUUGUUAAUUUAUUUAAUACUUGUUAAUUUAUUUUUUAACUUUAUUUUAUAAAGCCAACAAUGAUUAAAAAAUAUAUUUAAUUUUUAUUUAUUUAUACUAUACUUGUUAAUUUAUAUAACACUUUUUUAUGUCUUCAUCAAAAUUUUCGUGAAAAAUUAAAUUGAAAAAUCAUGGCUAUGAAAAAUAAACAAUACUCAUUUACUCCCUCAAAUAUGUUUCAUCAGUAAAUCCAUAAUUUUUCUUCGCUGAAUAUCAUUAGAUUUUCAUAAAAAGAUAUGAUUAUAAAGGUGAACAUCUUAGUGAUUUUUUAAAUUUUAUUAUUAUUUUUAGAGUUCUAAAUAAGAUUUUCUUUAAAUUAGAACCAAUAGAAAUCUAACUCGUGUUCUUCCAUAUCUUUAAAAGACAAAAUUAAUGAAAUAUUAGGCUUACUCUGAACAGAGAGAUCUAUACUGCCUAGUAGACAAAAUCAUAGAAACCCAAUUAUAUAAAUUUAAACCAUAAGGAUAUCUUUAUCAAAUAUCAAUAUAUCAGAGAGAUUCAUAGUACCAUUAAACCAAAGUUACACCUAAACUUGUCAUGCAAUAAAACACGUGCAUAUUCAUACAAUAAAAAUAAUAAAUAGACGUAUUUCUCCCUUUCUAUUACAAAGAUCAUUGCAAUACUUAGUAGAUGUAAACGGAAGGGAUGUGAGCUAUCUUAGGCCAGUCUUCUCCUCGCUCCUUCUCGCACCUUUUCUUCAAAUUUGGACAAUUUUCAAUUAUCAAGUCGCUGAGGUUGCUGAGACUCUGUAGCCCUUCUGGCAAACAUACCAAAUUAGGGCAUAUACAGAGUGUUAGAGAUCGGAGAGAAGUAAGAUGUUGGAUACUCUUUGGCAAUGAAUUCAGCUCUGGACAAAGUCUAAGCUCCAAAUCCUCAAGUACUGUCAGAUAUUGCACUCCCUCGGACAGAGACACAAAUUUAUCACAAUUGCUAACAGAUAACUUACGAAGAGAUGAUAAGCCGGACAACCCAUUCAUUGGCAGAGUGUAUAAUCUUGUACAACUAUCUAUCUCUAAAACCUCCAAAGAAGUGAGUUUUCGAAGACCUUCCUCUGGCAAGCUUUCAAGUUCAUCAAAAUGCCGGAUACUCAAGCUUUUAAGAGCUGAAAGGUUGUCAAAUACCUUAUUUGACAAAGACGGCAGAUUUCUCAUCCCAACCAUAUAUAAGAACUCGAGGAGUGUAUGAUUUUGCAAGAACCCAUCUGGAAGCAGCCUCACAUCAAUCCAUUCAAUAGAAAGGAAUGUGAUAGAAGUAAAUUUCAUAACUGACAUCAGUAACGAAGCAUUGCCUCUAUCGAUGAUUAACCUUUUGACGGAAGGUAUAAUUGGUAUUUCGGUCAACAAGGGGCAACGAACUACAGAUAAUUCUCGAAGACGAGGAAAACUACACGGAGCCCAUUGCUCUAGUCUCUUCAUUGAAAUAAAUUUCAGCCUCUCCAAAGAUGGGAAUGGAUUUUGCUCAUCUCCAUACACAUGGCUGUCAAUACACUUCACACCAUCCAUUCCAUCUAGUUCAAGAUUCUUGAGGAACUGUAAUUUCCCAAAUGGUGGAAGUUGUUCACAGUUGCCACAUGCUAUUAGCUUCAUCUCUACUAGAUUCGGUAGCAUCAAGUUCAAGUUCAUCAUCCACUUUGGAAAUUUUGAACCCCCAUAUCCAAUUAAUCUCAAUUCCUUCAGAUUUGAAUGAGGUUGAAGCCCAUCAAGGACAUCCUCAUUAUUUUCAGCUGAUUGCACACAAGUAAAAGGGCGGCGACCUCCAUUCUCAUUCCAACAUAAAUUCAGUGAUAGAAGAGUUGUCUUCAACAUCAAAUUGGCACUUCUGGCAUCUGUUAAAUUCUUAACAUUAACAAGAUCUGUGAUGCUUAGUUCACCAGCAAGAUUAUUCAGCCUUUCUAGCUCCCCUAAGUGACGACCAUCCUCCUUACCCACAAUGAACAGCCCAAGUUUUCGCAGGCAUGUUAAUUGCCCCAUUCCAAAUGGCAUAAAUCGAAGUGAAUGACAGCCCGUGAUGUCAAGAUAGAUGAGACUUUCCAUAUGCUUCAUACCUCUAGGUAAUUCGAUGAGCAGUGUACAAUGACUCAGAUUUAGUGUCUGAAGAUUUUGGAGGGAGGUGAUUGAUGCAGGCAAUUUUUCAAUGUGGGAAUAGGAGACAUCUAGAAACCUUAGAUGUUUCAAAUAACAAAUUGACUUUGGCAAUGUAUUGAGAUGGAUACCUAUAUGCAAGGCUCUCAGAUGCUUUUGUUGGGUGAAAUAAAGAUGCAAAUCAUCACUCACAAGGCGUGUGUGAUGAUAAACUCCAGAAAGCAAAAUUGAGCGUAGAGACCUAGAUUUGAAAUCCUUGUCUUCUGGAACAAACUGUGAUGUCCUGUAUGCACCCACAUGACGAAUUGUUUUAGGAAUUUGCAACUUUGUAUUGCCCUCAAUCAAACAACAUUCUCUCUUCAUAAUGUACUGUGCAAGAUCAUGGAUAAGAUCGUGCAUUUUACAUGUCAUGUAGCCCAGCGCAUCAUCCCUGACUUCUUGAAAAAAAGACCUCCCAACUAAUUCGUGGAAAAUCUCUUCACCCUUAUCGUGCAAAUCCAUUUGCCCAGUGCUCGAAAUGAAGCCAUUUGCCAUCCAUAGAGCUACCAACCGCUCCUUCCGAAUGACAUAAUCUUUGGGGAAUAUAGAGCAAAAUGCAAAGCAUUGCUUCACAGCUGGCUUUAGAUUCAUAUAACUCAAACUCAAGGCAGGUAAUAAUAUCUGGCUUCCUUCAUUUGGCAGAUCCCAAAUCUCACUUUCUUUGACAGACAGCCACUCCCUUUCACUUUUCUUCGAGCGCAUCAGGCUUCCGACUGCUCUUAUAGCCAACGGAACUCCGCUACACUUCUUAACUAUCGCUGCUCCAAUGUUUUCCAAGUGACCGUACUCCUCUCUCCUUCUCAUACCAAAUGCAAGCAGCUUAAAUAAAAGCCAGGAAUCCUCAUCCGACAAUGUUUCCAUAUGUUGAACAGGAUUUGUGGCCAUUUUUUCAGCCAUAGUUCCCAAACGAGUAGUCACAAUAACUGCACUUCCUUUAGCUCCACAGCUCAAUGCAUCUUUCAACUUGCUCCAGUUAUCAUGGUCAUCAUCCCAAACAUCAUCCAAUAUGAGCAAAAACUUCUUACCACGUAAAUUUUCUUGGAGGCAUCGUAGAAGAGCAUCCAACUGUGGAAUAUUUGCAGUAGUGCGUUGAAUGGACUCGAUGAUGGCUGUUGUCAAUCUUUUUAUGUUGAAAUCAACUGAUACGCACACCCAAAUCCGCAAAUCAAAAUGCCCUUCUAUUCUUCCGUCGUUGUAGACUAACUGAGCAAGUGUUGUUUUACCCAAGCCCCCCAUUCCACAUAUAGCAUAAACAGAGAAAUCAUCUGAACUGGUGAGCAGCAUGUUGACCAGAUCUUCUUUCUCCUUGCCCCUUCCAUAAAUUCCUGAUUCAUCCACCCAUGACCAAGUCUGACGCCAAUCAAAACUAUCUGCUUCUAUCUCCAAAGCCCCUUCAAUUAAAUGGAAAUCGUGUCUCCCCUUGGCAAUGCGAUCUAGUGUUUCUGUAACAUUCUUCAAUUUACGAGCCAUCCUUUGUCGAAAAACAAGAGGAUUAUGAUUGAUAGAAAAGAAGGAUCUUAGCCAAUUUUUGAGAUCUCUUCGCUGCUGAUGCCACUGAGCUUCAAAAGCAAACUCAUCCAGUACAUCAUCAACAACAUAAGCUGCAUCCUUGAGGUCGCUGAGCCACACCUUGAUAUGCUUACUCUUCCACUGCUUCUCCUCUGCAUCUUGCAGCACAGCUUGAAUGGUUAUGAACGUGCGCUUGAGAUUUUCAAGCUCGGUCGUUAGGCCCCUAGCAAGUCCAAGCUCUUGAAGAACUAGGGAAUUCAAGUUCCCCAUUAUUGUACUCGCGAGAGCAGAAAGAAUUGCAUCACCCAUGGCUUGUUUUGGAAUGGAAAAGAAGAAGUAGAAAAGGUGCAAGGAAAACUAAAAGCAGGGGAGGUGAGCAAGAAAUGGCAAGUAAAAAUUGAGAAGACAGCAGUAUGAGAUGAAAAAUGGAAAAGGCAAACAGCAGUCUCUGAUUAUAUUGAUUAGGCUCCACACGGUGCAGGCUUGACUUGGCUAUGCCUAUAAUAGUAUAAUAAAGCAAUUGAAGUUUCAGAGAAGGAACAUAGCUGUGAUUUCAAGCAACAUUUGUCAAUUAUCGCAUGCCUUUUCCUGUUUUAAACAGAAACGUGAUUAACGCUUUUGGCUGUGAAUUCUCAAGGGUAUUUUUCUUUUCAAUAUAUUCUCCAUUAGUUAGAACACAGUGCAAAAAGUUUUUCAUAAAUGUGUUUUAAUCCUCGGUUAGAGUUAAUUUAUUCUUAAUGACAGUAGAAUGACAUCAUAAUCACAACUAAUCUCAAAAACUUAUUUAAUCAACUUAAUAUUAAAUAAUAAAAUAAAAUAAAAAAUCGAGGUAAUCAAGCAACCCGCGACCUGGACAAAUUCCAACAGGAACACAAGAUUGGUUAUGUAAAAAAGAAGUGCAGAAGGACCAAAUAAUUGCUCACUCCGUGGAAUAAACAAAUAUUAGUCUAUCUUGGACAUGAAUAGAGAAAGGUUAUUAUAUUUUCAAAUAUUUGUGAUUUGAGAGUUGGGGUUCAAUUUUAUCAAAAUAUUAAAACCGCUGUCUUUUAACUACACUGAUUAGGCUCCACACGGUGCAGACUUGACGAACAUUGAAUGUCUGUAUUAAAGCAUUGAAGUUUCUGAGCAGCGACACGGCUGUGAUUCGAAGACAACAUCUGUCAACUUGAAUUUCCUUGUUGGUUACUAAACGUCUUCUUCCCGCGCUUGCCAACCCGCGUGGCUCUACACACUUAAAUUUUAAAGAAUUACAUUAGGCUCCACACGGUGCUGACUUAACUAGCCAUGCCUGUAUUAAAGCAAUUGAAGGUUCUGAGAACCAACACAGCUGUGAUUAGAAGACAACAUUCCACCUUGAUUUUUCUUUUCAAUUGAAGUUUUUGCUUGCUCAAAUAAUUUAUCUAUGCAAAAGUCAAAAUGUAUUUUUAUAACGAAAUAAUUACUUUCUCAAAUAAUUCUGAUUACAAAACUUUAAAUACCAUUGAAAAUGAUUUUUCAAUAAGAAAAAUGCAUACAUGCCUAGUUGCUCAUAUGCUAAUGUACUUAUCCACUACUGUGCUAAUUUGUGAAAUAUUUUUGUCUACUGCGUAUAGAAAAAAACUCUCAAAUUUCUCUUUGUUCUCUGUUGUACCAUCAAAAGAAAAAUCCAAAGUGAUAAUGCAACAUCCAAAAGUAUAAAAUAUGGUAUAAAAACCAAAUAAAAAAAUAAUAAUUAGGGAUUAAAUUAAAAAAUAAAAUAAAAUAAGAAAAAAAUUUAAAAAUAGCAAUAAAAAGAAUAAAAACUAUUAUUUAAUGAAGAAAUUAAAUGAAAUAAAAUAUUGAGAGUUAAAAAUAAAAAACAAUAAAUCAAGAAAAUAAUAAGAAAAAAGAAAUUAAAAGAAUAAUGAUAAAAUUUAAAUUAAAAAAUUUUAAAAAAUAAAAUGAUAAAGGAAAAAAUAAAUCAAGAAAAGAGUAAAUUAUAUUAAAAAAAAACAUUAAACAAAACAAGAAUUAAAUUAGAUACCAAAACUAAAUAAAAUAACUGACUGGGCUCUACACAGUGCAGACUUUGACUAUCUAUGCCAAUUGAAGUUUCAGAGAAGUAACAUGGCUAUGAUUCGAAGACAACAUUUAUGAACUUGAAUUAGCUUGUCGGUUAGUGAAUGUCUGUGUCCCGCACUGGCCAAUCCGCGUGGGUCUCACACGCCAGGCAUGAAAGACAAGAAUGCCUCAAUCAGAUGCAUGAACAUAAAAGAUGGAAGAAAAGAAAAGAUGGUGGAGUCCUUUAGGUGGGUCUCCACGAAGAAAUUAUGCAACCAAGAGGCAAUGUACCCUUCACUUUCAUAUCCAAAGAUCGCAAAAUAUCUGAUCAAAACUGUGAUCCAAUUUUGCCCGUGUGAGAUGGAGGAACUUCCCGGAGGAGGGAGGGUUUUUAGGCGAGUUAAGCAUCUCCAAUAGAGAUGUUAUUUUAAAAAGAUAAAUUGAUAAAAUAAUAUUUUAAAUAGUAUAAAUAUAACUUUUUUUACGAUGUAUAUUUUAAUAGAAAAAAGUUAUUUGAAAAACCAAUUCUAUUAUAAUAGAAUAAAUAAGUGUUUUAUAUUUUUUUAAUAAUUUUGAUGUUAUUUUUUUUCUACAUGGCUAGAUUUAAUUGAUUUUUUUUUUUUUGCCCCACUUGGUUAAUUUUGGCUUUUUUAAAAGAUAUAUAGGAAUAAUAUUUAUGGAAAAGAAAAGGUAUUUUAGCAUUUUAUUUAGCUUUUUCUUUGAAGUAUAAAAACAAAUAAAAAAAAACCAAAAUAUUAUUUUUUUAUUUUUAAAUAUUUAUUUAGCCUCUCCAUUGGAAAUGCUCUUAAGGUUUGGUUUCAUUGCUAUGGAGGAACUUCCCGGAUUCCGGCUACAAGCCUAUCUACCUAUCUUUAACUUGUCCUUGUGGGUGUGAGUUGUGACUUCUGCUUCCAACAUAUGGAUUGUGCUUUAUAUAAUUUUAUAAAGAUCCAAAAUUGCAUGAAAAAAAAUAAAAAAAAUAUAAAACUUUAAAGAGAGAAAUAAUUAAGCGUUGAAGAGACACCAUAAUUCUAUUAUAGGGAAACUCUCAUGUUACUCUCCAACUUGUAUAUCCAUUCUCAAUUACAUUUAAAACCUACGAAUUUUUUCAAUUAGGUUCCAAACAUUUCAAAAUAUUCUCAAUUAGUGUUUUUUUUUUUUUUUUGUCAACGUUGUCGGUAUUUUUGUCAAAUAUUCUUAAAACCGAUGUCUGUUUUAGAGCAUAAAUAUACAUAUUGGAUAUAAAAAAUAUGAAUACUCGUAAAAAACAGUUCCUCUAUUUUUAAAAGAUAAAUUAAUUAAAUUUUUUUUAAAAAUAAAUUACCUAGUUCAUUGACCAGGUUACUUUUUUUAUAAUAUUUAUUUAUUCAUUUCCUUUCUUCUAUUUUCUUUUUAAAAAAAACGUAAAUGAACAGAAAGGACUAAAUAUAUAUAUUUUUUUUUAAAUAACUAAUUACUUCAUUUCUCAAAACUAAAAGGACUUAGUUUUAUAAUUUAGACCACAAGGGUGCAUUGGAAACCUUGGACUCCAAGGGUGAGUCAUCUCCACGUACUAUUGAGGAUUAGGAUGAAUAUUGAAAGUGACCUUACCUGCAACACGUGGUCGUAUGGUCUUUCAAUUUCAGGUGACACAUGGGUCCCACAAACCAUCAUCAUUUUAUUUCAUUUUCCCCUGCCUUGUGGAGAGAAAAAGAAAACCAACCAAGUCUUCUUCCUCCCUCUCUCCAGGACAGGAAGCGGGACCCAAUCUCAAAUACCCAACCCAAUCCUAGCCGUUGAUUGUUUUUUUCCUGGAUUCCUACUCUCUCUAUCUAGCUAUCUACCUGAUCCAGCUGGAUUUAGCUGUUACAAACUGUAACAAUCAUAUUUCACCCGCUUGAGUUGAGCUUGAGCUAUCUACCUAGCUAAGCCGUCGAGCAGUAAUAUUCAAGCCGACUUGAAAUAUUAGCUGCCAUUACGAUUUCCGUCACCAGUCUAACAUCUAAUUAAUAACUUUAAUAAUCAUUCAUUUCAUAUAUUAAUAACAAUAACAAUAAUAAUAUUGUACUCAAAACUUAUAAAUAAAAUAAAAAUUUUGAAUUUUUAAAUCUUAUAUAAGAUAAUAAUUCUUAUUAAAUAAUUUCUUACCAUCAUAAUCAUUAUAUUAGCCACAAUAAAAAUUAUCGGAUCUAGACAGUUAGGCAUAACCUCGAGCCCAGCUCGAUUAUAAAAAAAUAUUUCAGCUUUCAUCGCCCACAAACCUCCCUCCCUCCCUCAUUUUUUAUGGUUUAAUUCUAUAAUACACUUCAAGCUAUUAGGACAAUAUUGAAUUUAUAUUUAAACUAUUUUAAUUAUAAUUAUUCCGAGUCAUGAGAUCAUAGGUUGCUACAACGCAAUUUUUCUAUGGACAAAAUUUAUUUUAUAGUGCCGGCGGGGUAUCUUUUGAAGUGUUCAUGUAUAAAUUUGAAGCAAAGUAAUGAAGAGACGUGAGACAAUGCAGUAGUGAAACAGAGUUAUUUAUUCAUACCUCUUUCUUAUGAAGAGACGUACAUGUGUAUAUAUAGAGUGGGAAAAACUUGCAGCAAGGAAAGACAAUCUUGCAUAUAUUUUCUCCCAUGAUUAUUGCUAAGAUUAUAUGUUAAUAGUAAAUACACAAUCAUAUCUAAACUAGAUAACAAGUACUUGAUGAGUUGUUGCCAAUGGUUAGGUUUAAGAGAAAAACAUGGCAGCUCCUCCUUUAUGGGUAUGCUAUAUAUAUACUUCAUCUAACCAACAAAAGAGAAGUAAUAUAUUUUUCUUUGCAGAUAUCUAGAGACAAAGUUCUUCUCUGCAGUGAAGCCAAUGUAGGGGAGACCUGUAACCCUGAUUUUUUUUUUUUAAUUAAUAUGGUUAUUCGGGUUAGCUUACGCCUACUUCGAUUAAUUCUAUUGCAUGAACCUUGAAAUUAAUAACUAUAUAAGUCUUCAAUAAUCUUGAAAAUAUUUAAAUUCAUGAUCAUUAAAGAAUAAACUCAAAAUUUAACUUGUUGAGUUACCCCUCAAGAUUUCUAAUACCCUGACUCUUGUUUACACACAAUGCCGGCGGUGAUAGUUAGGGGUGAUCAUUUUCGAUUUGGUUCGGUUUGAUUUUUAUUAAAAAAAAAUAAUCAAACCAAUUUUUUUUUUUUAAACCAAAACUAGUUCAAACCAACCGGUUUUGGUUCGGUUUUUUAGGACAAAAAGCCGGUUUGGCUCGGUUUUCUUGGUUUUGACUCAGUUUUUUCUGGUUUUGGCUCUGGUUUUUUGAUUUGGCUCGAUUUUUUCUGGUUUGGGUCCGGUUUGGUUUGGUUUUUUGGUUUUAGACUUAUAAAACCAAAACCAAACCAACUGAUUUUUUUAAAAUUUUAAUUAAUUUUUUUCACGAUUUAAUUUUUUCAAUUAUUUUUUUCAGUUUUCUUAAUUUUUCGAUAUUUUUACUCACUCUAUCACUCUAUCGUAUGUUUUGUUUUUUACAGUAAAGAAGGCUGGUGUUCUUACUAUUAGUUUUUUUAUAUAUAUAUAAAUUAAAGAUCAUUAAUGGAAUCUGCUAUGGAAAGAAUAUUCAAAUAUUAGAGAAGUGCACAGGGACAAAAUAAUUGCUCACUCCCUGGAAUAAUCAAAUAUUAGUCUAUCUCGAACAUGAAUAGAGAAAGGAAGAAAAGAACACGUCAUGACUUUGAACAGAGAAAGUAAUAAUUGCCCAUUCGCCUUGAAAUUCUAGCUGUACAGCAUUUGGAAUUUCACGAGGCAAAAGAUUCUUAACAAUGAGUUAAAUCUCCCUUUUGAGGUGGUGACCUGACCUGUCGGAAUUGCUUUAUAGACAAGAAUGGAUUCAUGAGUCAUAUUCUACAAGAAACAAGCAAGUCAUUUGACUCACAUAAGAAAGAUGGAAAUAUAUUUCCCCUUUAAUAAAGAGCUAAAAGGGUACGCUAGAAAUUUAAAAUUUUUUAAAAGUACAGUCCAAACAUUGUAUAAUUACCCUCACAAACUUUCAAUAAUAGAUACCAUUUGUUACGCAUAAUUAUGGUAUUUCAAAUUACGCGUGCUUGCUGUGAUUUUCUUCCAUGCACAUAUCUCAAGUAAAUGAAAGCAGGCUUCUGGAACAUGAAGAACUGAGAGGUGCCCGUGCCCUUGCCUUUCAUACAGCGAAGCACCAAUCCAGGUCCGUUCAUGGCUUUUCAGCAAACAAGGAAACCAUUGGCGAUGCUUUUACAGAGUGCUCAAUCACUUUUCUAUUUUUUACAUUAGAAUUUAGAUGGAUACAGAGUGCUCAACCAUCGGGUUAUAAAUUUCAUUUUACUAACAAAACAAUGUUCCCGGGCAACACAUCUCCCCUCGAGUUAUAAAUUUCAUUUUACUUUUUUUUUCGUUACUGACAACGUAUAAAUUUCAAUUACUUAAUUUUUUACUGAAAUUUCAUUAUAACUUAAUAACAAAAUGUAGAUCAUAUAUACUAAGAUUCGCUCCAAUAGAAGCAAUGACCAUGAUGCAGUGACACAUGGAAAAGUUAUACAGUAAUGUAGGUCAUUCUCAGGCUUUUUUUUUAUUUUAUUUUUUUUGUAGUUUUUCUAAUAUACCCAUGACAGGGUAGACUUGUCCUAUAUAGACGAAUCAACUGUUAAAUGUUCCACAAAGAGUAUGGCAGGCCAAAAACACUCACUAUGUUUUGUUAUGUAGGCAUGCAGCUGCUCUUUCCAGGGCUUUCUCUUUGUUGUUUUUAACAAAAAAAGCAGAGAUAUUUACUCAAACCUUCUCAGGCAUUCAUAUCAAACGAACCCUAGCUACGUGUGAAGAAGAUUGAAAGAGAAUGAUCAGUAAGGAUACAUAGAGGAUUUAAAAGCUGUGAAAGCUUGCUCAUGUAGUCGCUGGAUGAAUUAAUCGAGGAGUUUACAAAUAGGCUGGAAUUGCAUCGACACUGAAAUUAACACCUUCAAUUCAAAAAUGAUUUUGACAUUUUGCAGAUAUGGUUCCUUAUCUACAGCUUAGUGAUAUUUAGAGAGAGUUUUCGGCAAAUGCAGCCCACAUUACUAUUCAAUCUCAUGAUGAUGCGUGGCAUCAGAUCGAAUUGUUGAGUUUUCGCGUUGAUAAUCUUCAAAUUUUCUGCAUUUGGACCUAACUGUGAGAUGAAUGGUUUUAUUCGUCAUGACUGUGCAAAAACUUAUUUAAAUCAUCGUUAUUUUCAAAUUAAAGAAAAAUAUUUAUGAUCACAUUUAGUUAAAAGUUACUCUUUAGAAUCAAAUUGAACUAGAUUUUUUAAUUCAUGUCAUCUCAACUAACUUUUAUCAAACGCUUAUAAGAUCAUAGAUCCUUAUGAAUAUAGUAUUUUUUGUAGUUGAAUAAUGGGUUUAAUCAAAUCUCCAUGCUAUUGAUUCAUUUUUCAUGACACAAAAAGGUGAUAGCUUGAUGUAAAAUUCUAACACUUGCAAAAUAGUUUUUUUUUAAUGGAUUUGAAUACCUUCAAAUGCUUAAUUAAGCAAGAGGAAAAUAUAUAAAUAUGCAAAAGAAUAUUAAAUUCUAAUAACAAAAUUAUUUUUUUGUUUUGAUAUGAAAAUAUGUAUUUUAUAAGAAAAUGAUGAGUGUAUGUUGAGAUUGAAAAUUAUAACCCUUAUAUGGAUAGUUUAAGGAGUAUCUAUACCCAAAAACAUUAUCAUUUUCCUUAAGUGAAGGGGUUUGAAUUAUUUCACCAUGAUAGCAUUAAAGAAGAACAAAAAUCUUUCAUAUAUAUAUAUAUAUUAUUAUAUAUUAAAGAGAAAUAUUUCUAACAUAAAUAUUUAAUAAAAUUUAAUACGUAAUAAAAACUCUUGUACACCGAAAAUAUAGAUUGAACAUGAUUCAACUAAAGAACUUGAAUAAAAUAAAAAUAUCAAGAAAUUUGAUACGGGUAGAAGCCACAAGACAAUGCUCAAAGGUAUUAAGCCUAGCAUGGGCCUAAAACCUUUUUUAAAAUGUUCUUCCUGAGUUGUCGUUAAAACAUGCUUGGAUUAACAUGUAAAAUGAUAAGAGAAUAAUAGAAUUUGCUGGAAUGAAAUUAUUAUUGAUUGCAUUGCAUAUUUAUAUAAGAGUAUCUACAUUUAUCUCUUCUACUAUGAAUCCAACACUUGGAAUUCAUUGUCCUAUAAAGAAUUAUUAUUACAGUAGGAAAUCAUGUAUAAAUUAUUCAUUCCUAAUAUAUCUCUAUCAGGAUUCCUAAUACUCCCCUUCAAGUCGAAGAGUGGAUGUCCUACACUCCCAACUUGUGAAUCAUGAAUGAAGACAUCUUUUACUAAGGGUUUGGUGAAGAUGUCUGCCAAUUGAUGGUCAAAAUGAACAUGUCUUGUUAUCAUAGAAUCAUCUUGAAUUUUUUCCUUGAUAGUGACAGUCCAUCUUAAAAUGUCAGGUGCACUCAUGAAACACUAGGUUGGCUACAAUGUGUAAUGCAACCUUGUUAUCAAUGUAGUAAAGCAAGUUCAUGAUGUAAAAGGCCUAAAUCCCUCAACAGACAUCGGAGCCAUGUCAACUCACAACAUGCUCCUGUCAUUGCACGAUACUUUGCCUCUGCAGAGGAGAGUAAGACUGUUUUUUGUCAUUUUGAUCUCCAGGAUAUCAAUAAGGGUCCAAGAAACACACAAUAACCCGUGGUAGACCUCUGAGUUAGUGGGCAACCUGCCCAAUCCGAGUCUGAAUAAGCUCUUAAUUUGUAAUCAGUGUGUGAAGGAAAGAAUAACCCUUGACCAGGAGCUCCUUUCAGAUAUCGGACAACCCGGAAAGCAGCUUCCAUAUGAAGCUUCCGGGGUUGGUGCAUGAAUUUGAGGAACUGCAAGUUCCUCAAUGGUGGAAGUUGUUCACGGUGGUCAACACAUUUCAUUGUAUAUAAUAAUAAUAAUAAUAAUAAAAUAAUAAUAAUGUACUCAAAAAUUUAGAAGUUAUAAAAUAAAGAUUUUUUUAUAUCUUAUAAGAUAAUAAUUCUUAUCAAACAAUUUCUUACCGUCAUAAUCAUUAUAUCAGCCACAAUAAAAACUAUCGGAGCCAGGUUGGCAUAACCUAGAGCAUUCUUGCGUAUUUUCUAAAAGAGAAAGAAAACAUUUUUUCAUGAUUUUUACUUUUUUAUUCUUAAAUAAACAAACAUUCAAAAUUAACUUAAACAUUAGGAUGCAACAACAACUCCAAUUCCAAAACAAAAAAUAACAAAAUAAUAUGAAAGCAAGUAACACUCAUAUUUAUACAUUCUAAAAAGAUAUACCCAUCGCUCUUGCGUGAGCUGCUCCAAGUGAUCUAGUCACCAUCAACCUCCAACAUCUCACUCAAGCAUUAGAAAACAUCUAGGCAUAAAACAAGCCCCAUGACUCACAUAAAAAAAAUAUUUCAGCUUCCAUUGCCCAGAAACCUCCCUCCCUCCCUCAGUUUUUAUGGUUUAAUUCUAUAAUAAACUUCAAGCUAUUAGGAUAAUAUUGAAUUUAUAUUUAAACUAUUUUAAUUAUAAUUAUUCCGAGUCAUCAGAUCAUAUGUUGCUACAACGUAAUUUUUCUAUAGACAAAAUUUAUUUUAUAAUGCCGGUGGGGUAUCUUUUGGAGUGUUCAUGUAGAAAUUUAAGCAGAGUAAUGAAGAGACAUGAGGCAGUGCAAUAGUGAAACAAAGUUAUUCAUUCAUACCUCUUUCUUAUGUUGUACAUGUAGAGUGGGAAAAACUUGCAGCAAGGAAAGACAAUCUUGCGUAUAUUUUCUCCCAUGAUUAUUGCUAAGAUUAUAUGUUAAUAAUAAAUACACAAUCAUAUCUAAACUAGAUAACAAGUAAGUUAUACUUGAUGAGUUGUUGCCAAUGGUUAGGUUUCAGAGAAAGACAUGGCAGCUCCUCCUUUACGGGUAUGCUAUAUAUAUACUUCAUCCAACCAACAAAAGAGAAGUAAUAUAUUUUUCUCUGCAGACAUCUACAGACAAAGUUCUUCUCUGCAGUCAAGCCAAUGUAUGGGAGACCUGUGACCCCUGACUUUUUUUUUUAAUUAAUAUGGUUCGAUUAAUUCUAUCCCAUAAACCUUGAAAUUAAUAACUAUAUAAGCUUUCAAUAAUCUUGAAAAGAUUUAAAUUCAUGAUCAUUAAAGAAUAAACUCAAAAUUUAACUUGUUGAGUUACCCCUCAAGAUUUCUAAUACCCUGACUCUUGUUUACACACAAUGCCGGCGGUGCUAGUUAGGGGUGAUCAUUUUCGAUUUGGUUCGGUUUGAUUUUUAUUAAAAAAAAAGUAACAAAACCAAUUUUUUUUUUAAAAAAACCAAAACUAGUUCAAACCGACCGGUUUUGGUUCGGUUUUUUAGGACAAAAAGCCGGUUUGGCUCGGUUUUCUUGGUUUUGGCUAGGUUUUUUCCGGUUUUGGCUCUGGUUUUUUGAUUUGGCUCGGUUUUUUUGGUUUGGGUCCGGUCCGGUUUGGUUUUUUGGUUUUAGACUUAUAAAACCGAAACCAAACCAACCGAUUUUUUUAAAAUUUUAAUAAGUUUUUUUCACGAUUCAAUUUUUUCAAUUAUUUUUUUUCUAGUUUUUUUAAUUUUUCGAUAUUUUUACUCACUCUAUCGUAUGUUUUGUUUUUUACAGUAAAGAAGACUGGUGUUCUUACUAUUAGUAUUAUAUAUAUUAUAUAUAUAUAUAUAUAUAAAUUAAAGAUCAUUAGUGGAAUCUGCUAUGGAAAGAAUAUUCCGUUAGCAAUUCUAAUUUUUUAGAUUUUUUUAAUUUCGACAACAAUUUUUAAUGCUAGCAAAAUAUUUCAUUGAUAUUUUUAUUGGUAUUAGAAAUCAUUAACGAGAUAAAAAAGUUUAAUGAGCAACUUUUUAAAGAUAAUAUUUCAUUAGUAAUUUCAUUGAUGUUUUCAUUGGUGUUAGAAAUCAUCAAUAAUUUCUAAUAAUAACAAAAUUCUCUCUAAAUACUGAUAUAAUAUUCUUUUAACAUUCCUUAAUUUUGUGCUAGUGUUUAACGUAAAUAACUUCCUUUUGUUUUUCAAUUAAACAAAUUAUCAUACUUUAAAUUGCAUACUGAUAUAUUUUUUUUCUUACUUUAAAAAUUAACUUAAAAACUUACAUGUAGUAUAACAAGAGUUAUUGCACCAAUGAGAACUAAAUACCAUUAUCUUGUAAAAAAAAAAAAAGUAGGUUGCAGUCGAGAAAUAAUUUAUUUCCAUUUUAAUUUUGUAUUUUUGACAAUGUUUUAGGUUUUUUUGGGCUAAUAAAUUAUUAUUUUUUUAAGUUUUAAGGAUGUUGAUUAAUUAUUUUUUUGAUGAAAAUAAUGAAAAUAAAUUUUUAGAUAAAAAGAACAUCCUCUCAAUUUUUAGUCACUUUUACUAGAAUUUAGAUGUGGAAGUUACACGUCAUUUGUUUCUUAAAAAAAUUAGAAAGAUGACAAAUUUGAAAAAAUAAUGAAAAAAGCCUUGAGAUGCAGUGGCAUAGGCUAGCAGACCCGCAUGCUUAGACUUAUUUUUAAAGGUUCCAUCUUGCUAAGCCACAGGACGUGUACCUUGCUUUUAUUAAAAAAAAAUUCCAAUAAUUUUGGUUGUGAUUUCUUAAAUUUUAAUUAAUCAAAUAUUUAUUAGUUAUAUUAUUUAUUAGAUUCUUAAAGUGAUUAAUUAUAUAUUUAGAUAUUAUUUUAGUUAAAGUGAUCAUUUUUUACCAUGUUUUAGAAUAAAAUUAUUUCUGAACGUGCGGUUGAGAUUUUCAAGCUCGGUCUCUAGGCCCCUAGCAAGUCCAAGCUCUUGAAGAAUUGGGGAAUUCAAGUUCGCCAUGAUUGUACUCGCGAGGCAGAAGUAAUUGCAUCAGCCACAGCUUGUUUCGAAUGGAAAAUAUUGGAUGUUGACAAGAAGAAGUAGAAAAUGUGCAAGGAUAACCAAAAGCAGGGAUGAGGAGACAGAGCAGUGUGGCAUGAGAAAUGGCAAAGGUGAAAGUGUCUGGUGAUGGUCUUUACUCUUGCUAUUGAUCAAUUCUUCAUUACAUUAAACACAUUAUACGUUUGCAAAAAACCCACCAAAGACCACACCUCCCAUCUAAACUGCCGUCCUUGACUAUUAUAUUGAUUAGGCUCCACACGGUCGAGACUUGACUAGCUGUGCUUCCACCAUUGGAGAUAAGGUUUACAGGAUCAUAAAGCCUUGCCGUUUUGGCACCUGAUGCCAACAUUAUUGGCCUACAGAAAGACAAGUGGACAUCAAAACUACUAAAGGCCAAUCACCGCCAUGCGAGUAAAGAUAUGUUUCGGUUUGAAUUUUUUUUUUUUUUUAGAUCAAGGGAAUAUAAUGAGUCAUGUAUACAAAUAAAAUUACCGAGAUAACUGAUUUCGUUUGUAAAUCCAUCAAUAAAUUCAUUAAUAAACUGUUAACUUUUUCCUAAUACUAUUUAUCAUGUCAAUUACAAAUGAAAUUAUUGACGAAAUAUUCUAUUAAUAUUUCUUAAAAAACUUUGCAACUGUUUACUUUUUAAUUGCACUAUUAAUUAUUAUUCUUUAUAGAUAAAAUCACUGACGGAUUGAAAAUUCAUCAGUGUUAUUUGGUGGGUUUCUGAAAUUUUUUGAUUAAAUUAAAUAUUACAGACGGAAUCACCGAUAGAUUGAAAAGUCGUAGGUGAUAUUUGGCUAUUUCUAAAAAUUUUAUAUUAAAUUGAAAAUUUAAAUUAACUAUUACAGAAGGAAUAAUUGACAGAAUGAUUAAAAAUAUUAAUAUUUAAUUAUUCAUCGGUAAAACGCCCAAUAAAAAGACUAGAAUCCCUUAUUUCACAAUAGACGUGCCUCUUUUUUCUUCUUCUUUUUUUUUUUUUUUUUUUUUUAAAUCAACAUCUCUUUCUUUCUCUUCUCUCCUCAACUCCUUAUUUAUUUAUUUAAACAAUGCUAACUGGGUUGAGUCCACUGUUCCGGUUGGACCGGGUCCGAUUAAAAGCUAAAAAUGCAUUGAACUGGGUCCAAUCCAGUAAAAUAAAAAUAUUAUUUUUUAUUUUUAAUUGUGUUUUAUUUUAAAAAAUAGUGUUUAACGUUAUUCAAUGACACUACAUAAAUUAUACGGGGAUUGCUUAAUGACGUAGUAUUUACAUAACUUGAUCGUAAUCCCCAUUUUAUUCCUGAUGUUGUUGCGCGCUUAAGAAACUAAGAAAACUGUAGUCCUUGUCGGAUGUAUUUCAUACGCGAUGAAAUUGUAGAUAGUUUAAUGAAACAAUAAAAAAUAUUUUAUAUAAAGUAUUUUUUUAUUUUAUGAUGUAAUAGCAGUAGUUAAAUCUGUAAUAUUUAAAUUAAAAACCAUCAAUAUUAAUAUAUAUUUUUUGAAAUUAUUUUAUAACCUCAAUUUGAAAAGUAUUCUUAACCAAAUACAUUAAACUAUUUUUUAGUUCAACUUUAAUUUUAACCAAACAUAUAUAAAUAUCAAACCAAUCUCAACUAAAAAUACUUUUUAUAAAAUAAUUUUUUUCAAAUCACAACCAUAAAAGCUAUCACAAUACCAAACACACUCCGGGUGCGUUUAUUUUCUAGAAAGUGGUUUUCCAGAAACCACUUUUCAAACUUUAUUGUAUUUGUUUGCCAUUAUGAAAGUUGGUCAACGAAAAACACUUUCCAGUCAAAGAAAAAUUUGGCUUGGUUUCUAGGAAAGUGUUUUCCUUUUAUUUUGGGCGGAAAACACUUUCCAGAAGUUGUGAAAAAUUUAGAAAUGUCAUAUUAUUUACUAAUUAUAUUAAAUUUGGUUCUCAAACUUUUGAUUGUUACAUAUAUUUUGUUUUGAAUAUUUGUUUUUCAAUUUCAUCCCUUAGAAUUGAAUUUUUAUAUAAACUUUGGUUCUUAUUUUUAUUUUGCUUUUCCCUUAUCAUUUUUUAAUUGGAAUUUUUUAUCUAUCAAAUCUGGUCCUCAUUUUUUAUUGUUAUUUUUUUAUUUGAAAUAAUUUAUGAAAUGUUAAUUAUUAUUAUUUUAAUUCUUCAUCUUUUAAUUUUUUUAUUUUUUAGAUUUGAUCUCUAUUAUUUUGAUUAUUAUUUAUUUUAUUUGAGAUAAUUUAUGAAAUUAUAUAUUUUUUUCAAUUUAUUCUCAUUCAACUUUUUAAUUUGUAAGAUUUGUUGUUCAUUAUUUUAAUAAACUUGAAAAAAUAAAAUAUUAAUAAGUUAUUUUCCAGCUUAUUUUCCACGACAUAACCAAAUACUAGAAUGUAUUUUCUAACUUAUUUUUCAUUACAUUACCAAACAUUAAAAAAUAAUUUAUUUUUUAGAAUUUAAUUCCUAAAAAAAAUUACUUUUCAAUAAAUAAACAGGGAUUUAACUAACACCUCCCGAGUCCUAACGGAUAUUAUGGACCCGCAGGGUACAUAUUGCCCCUCAUGAUCUUGCUUUCUUCUUCUAGGGCCCGCAUGUUGAUAUUGACCAUCUUGGGCACUUCCGUUCUCCAUUGCCAGAGACGUUCGAGGCAGUGAAGCUCCCCAUCCCGCAUUAACGGUGGUUCGCAUUGCGUUUUGAAAAUAUUUUAAAAAGAAAUUGAUUUUCUUUUAGAUCAAGGGAAUAUAAUGGGUCAUGUAUACAAACAAAAUUACCGACAUAACUGAUUCGUUUGUAAAAUCCAUCAAUACAUUUAUUAGUAAACUGUUAACUUUUUUCUAACAUUGUUUAUCCUGUUAAUUAUAAAGGAAAUUAUUGACGGAAUAUUUUAUCGGUAUUUUUUAAAGAACUUUGCAACUGUUUACUUUUCAAUUGUACUAUUAAUUAUUAUUUUUUAUAGAUGAAAUCAUUGACGGAUUGAAAAUCCAUCAGUGUUAUUUGACGAGUUUCUGAAAUUUUUUGAUUAAAUUAAAUAUUACAGUCACAGAUGGAAUCACCGACAGAUUGAAAAGUCAUAGGUGAUAUUUGACGGUUUCUGAAAAUUUUGUAUUAAAUUAAAAAUUUAAAUUAACUAUUACAGACGGAAUAAUUAACUGAAUAAUUAAAAAUAUUAAUAUUUAAUUAUUCAUCCGUAAAAUGCCUAAUAAAAAAACUAGAAUUCAUUAUUUCACAAUAGACUUGCCCUUUUUUUCUUCUUCUUUUUUUUUUAAAAAAAAACCAUCAACAUCUCUUUUUUUCUCUUCUCUCCUCAACUCCUUAUUUAUUUAUUUAUUUAAACGCAGCUUUUGAUUUUUGCUUUAAUGCUACAUUUGUUUAUGAGAUUAGUCUGCGUUUGAAGCAAAACGCAGGAGCAACAUGUUUGGUAAUGAAAAAACAUCAUUUACUGUUCAUGGACCCCAUUGUUAUUGGCCUUUGCAACGGAGGAUGAGACAAAGUAGCUCUUCGCUGCUUCUGUAGAGAGUGAACAGUGGAGGGUGACUCCACUAUUCCGGCUGGACUGGGUCCGGUUUAAAGUAUGCAUUAAACCAAGUUCGAUCCAGCAAAAUAAAAAAAUUAUUUUUUAUUUUUUAUUGUGUUUUAUUCAAUGUUUAAUAUUAUUCAAUGACAUUACAUAAACUAUAUGGGGAUUGCUUAAUGACGUAGUAUUUGUAGAAUUUAAUUUUAAUCCCACUUAAACUUAUUCUACUGUACACAUAACCCGAUGCUGCGGAUUAUGUUUUUUAUAAAAAAUAUUAAAAAUUUUAGCUGCAAAGCUAUACUAAAAAAUAUUGAGUUUGGCUCCAACACCUAAUCUAAGAGUAAUAUUUAUAAUGUUAAUAAUAAAAUUAAACUUGCAUGACUUAAGUUUAAGUGAGUCUGGCUAAAAGACCAGACCCAAGAAUAUUGGAUGUGAGUCUGGCUAUAAGAUCGUGUUAUAAAAAUAUGAUAAUUAAAUAGAUUAAUUAAAAAAAUAAAAAAAAAUCAACAGAAAGGAAAAAACUAAUAAAGAAAAAGAAAAAAAUUGAAUUAAUUAGGUUAACCCUUUAAACUAGGUUAUCCCGUAAAACCUGAGAUUCACGUCAUGAAAGUUUGAUAAUUAAAUAGAAAAAAAAAAGACUGGUUUACCCAGAAUUAACUGGGUUAACCCAUCAAACCAAGUUAACCCGUCAAGCCUAGGAUACGUGUUAUGAAAGUAUGAAAGUCUGAUAAUUAAAUAAAAAAAAAAUUGACUUUAACAAACUAAACUAAAUGAAAAAAAUAACUCAUCAAAUCAAGUUAACCUAUCAAACCCGAGAUCCGUAUUAUGAAAAUCUGGUAACUAAAUAAAAAAUUAACAUUAACAAACUAAAUCAAACAAAAAUUCAUUAAAAAAAUUAAAAAGAAAAAAAUAGUUAUUAAUAUAAUGUAAUAUAAUAAUAAUAAUAAUAAUAUAUAAUAAUAAGUAAGUAUAUUAGUAAAAGGCAUGACAUGCCCACACGAUGCCGCGGGCUUGUGGCAUGCUUGUACAUUAUCGUGGAUUUGUGAAAAAAAUCAUAUAAAAAAAUAUAGUUAUCAUCCACAAUAUUUUAAAGAAAAAAACUACAAAGCUAUAUUCUCAACCAGUUCAAUAUUAAAAAAACAAAAUCGACAAAAACAAUUAUAAAAAAACACACAAAAAUGAAAACAAGAAGAUGACAAUUUUGGAAGAAAAAAAAAAAAACAAUAAUAAAAAAAAAGGAAAAAAAAACAUGUGGGGAAAGUUAAAGCUAAAUUUUCAAUCAUCUCAAUAUUAAAAUCAUUUAAAAAACAUUGUAACGAUCUAAAGUGUUUUGUGUAAAAAUAUAUAACUAUAAUUGUUAACCAGCUCAAUAUUAAAAAAAUCAAUAAAGAUAAUUUUAAUAGAAAAUAAUUGGAUGUUGACAAGAAGAAGUAGAAAAUGUGGCAAGAAUAACCAAAAGCAGGGAUGAGGAGACAGCAGUGUUGGAUGAGAAAUGGCAAAGGUGAAAGUCUGGUGAUGGUCUUUACUGUUGCUAUUGAUCAAUUCUUCAUUACAUUAAAUGAAGGACGAAUUUUUUGCUUUUAGAAGGUGUGAUGUGUGCUUUAAACAAAAAACCCACCAUACCUCACAUAUUAAAGCGUGUUUAGUAGUAUGAUAAUAGUUACUUUUUAAAUAAUUUUUUAUGUUGAAAUGUAUAUCAAUGAUGUUUUUUUAUUUUUGUUAAAAAUCAUUUUUAAUAUCAGCAUAUUAAAACGAUCCAAAAAAUAUAAACUGUAUUAAAUUUUAAUAAAAAAAAUAAAAAAAACUUUUGAAUUUUUUAAAAACAUAGGUUGAACCGCGUUUCUAAACACUGCCUACGCUCGACUAUUAUAUUGAUUAGGCUCCACACGGUCGAGACUUGACUAGCUGUGCUUACAAUAAAGCAAUUCAAUUUUCAAAGAAGGAACAUGGCUGUGAUUUGAAGACAAGAUUUGUCUGCCGGUGUGAACCCAAACUUUUGUUCAAAAUGUGAGCCAAAAUCCAAUCUAAAUUAAUCUAGUAUAUCAAAAAGUUGUAUUUUUUUUUGUGGUUGUUAUAAUUCUCUCUCAUCAAUUAAAAAUUUUUAAUCUUUAAUAUUGAAUUUUUAGGUUUAAAAAAGGUAAAAAUAACAAGUAAUCAAUUCUUUUUCAUGUUAAUUAUGGUUUGUUUAUGAAAACAUUAAAAAAAAUAAGAUUUAUAAAGAUUUGAAGUUUAUGUUUUUAAAAUAAAUUCAUGAUUAUUAUAAAUUUGAGUUCAAGUGAUUAAUUUUAGAUGUGUUGUUAGAAAUAAGAAUUUGUGAAUUGAUUUGUUUAAUUAAUUUAUUAAGGGUUAAGAAAUUCGCUUCAACUUUGUUAGAAAAUUGGACAAAAUAAUUUUGAGGUUGAAGAUAAAGAAAUUGUAUUUUGGUCCUUGAUUUAUGAAAAUUACAGUGUAAUUCCUAAACAUUGAAAAAUUAUAAUUUGACCUCUAACUGUAUUUUGGGAUUCUGAGUGGUAUUAUUAUGAGGUUAAGGAUAAUGACUCUCAGUUUAAUAAUUGAUUUGGGAUCUUUUCAAUUUGGGCCUUUAAUUUUGAAAGUUUACAUUUUAGUCCCUGAUCUUUAAAGAAAUGAUAGUUCGGUCCUUGGUUCAUUUCUAGAUAGAAUUGAAAAUGGUUUGUUGGUAAAAUUUCAGUAUGGUUAUGUAUUUACAAUUUGCUCCUCCAAUUUUGGCAAAAUUUUGUUUUGGUUCGUGAUUUCUAAAAAAUAUCGUUUUAGUCCUUAAACUCAUAAGAAUAAACCUGUUUUAUUUUAUGCAUUGAAAUAUUUUAUUUGUUGUUUUGGGUUGUUUUUUAGUAUAUUCUAUAUAUUUUUUUAUAAGCUCCUAACAAUCAUCAAUAAAAUUGCCAUAGCUUGUUUUCGAAUGGAGAAUAAUUGGAUGCUGACAAGAAGUAGAAUAGGUGCAAGGAUAACCAAAAGCAGGGGUGUAAGCAAGAAAUGGCAUGUGUUGAGAAGACAGAGCAGUGUGAGAUGAGAAAUGGCAAAGGUAAAAGUGUUUGGUGAUGAGCUUUUCUUCUGCUAUCGAUCAAUUCUUCAUUACAUUAGUGAUUAAUAAUGUGGUGGUUCAAUUUUAUUAAGAUAUUAAAACUGCUGUCCCUGACUAUAUUGAAUAGGCUCCACACAGUUCAGACUACAUUUCAGACUUGACUAGCUAUGCUUACAAUAAAGCAAUUGAAGUUUCAAAGAAGGAACAUGGCUGUGAUUUGAAGACCGAAUUUGUCUACUUGAAUUGCCUUGUUUGUUAGCAAACGUCUUCUUCUCUAAGCUCAGUUUUUUUUUAUCAGUGUCCAGUGGCCUUCGGUGACCCCAUAACCAUGCAGCCAAGCUGCGCACUGGCCAGACCCUCGGAAGUCGGAAACACCAAUAUCUUCCAGCGCUAGUGAAUGCAAGUUGCCCAAGAUUGUAAAUGCAAGCGCAGAAACAAGUGCACCAGCCAUGUUCUCUUCUGAAGUGAAAAUGGGAACUGACACGGGUAAGAUAAAUGUUUUCCGACUAAGGUUAUUUUUCUUUUCUUUUAUGACAAGGAGAUAAGAUGAAGAAUGAUUCAAUGUCGCAAAAUCGACAAGAUCAAAAGGGUUCUAAAAUUAGAAGUGUAAGAUCAAAUGUAGGAAUUAGUUUACUUCGAAGGCACAACAGUCUUUGGAACAAAAAAAAAAAAAAAACUUGAUUACCCCAGAGACAGGACAACCAAGAACACACCAGUACGGCAUCCAUGGAGCUAUUUAACAUCUUUCUGUAUGCAGCAAGGUGGUCAUGGCCAUACCUGGUUUUGUUUCGAAGUUUUGAACCUCCAGAACCAUAUUUAUUUGAACAUUUAUGUUUACUCAAAUGGAAAAUCUAGACAGCAAACUUUAAUUUACAAUGCACUAGUGAACAGCCCUUCAUAAUCUGGAAAACAAUGUAAAUGCUAUUAUUAAUUGUUUCACCUUACUAACAAUUGACAGUUGCAAUUGAAAAUUUAACAGAAUGCUUAGGAACCUGAUGUUCUAUUUUUAGGGACUCCAAGAUCGAAGAACAGUGCACAGUGAACAUUUCUUUCCCGGAUUUAAUUCAAACCAAUGUGUUGCCAUCCAAUUAAUCUGGUAAUUAAAGAAGAAAGAAGGGUUCUUGAAUAACAAGAACAACAACAGAAGAAAAGAAACAGAGAGAAAGAGAAACUUUUAGUAACAUUCAACACUUAGUAUUUUUUUUUAAAAAACAAAAUUAACAUUCAACUCAAACCAUUAACGUUGGUUUUUUUUUUUUUUUUCCCUGAAUCACAGAAUAUCUUGUCCCAGCUUUCACGUACUAAACCAAGUCUUUACAGCCUGGAACCGAUCUUUACACAGUGUUAAGCCCCACAGCUCGCGGCCCUAUAAGAUUUGAUGCUAGAAAAAUUCAAACUGAAGAUCUGAAGAGAGUAAACCUCCAAGCCCACCAUUAAGUUCCACUAGACUAACCCCUCGAAGUUACCAUUUACAUUGUCUGCUUGCUAUUCAUACAUCAUUCAUGGUCAACUCAAUAUUUCACUAAUUUUCAUUUUAAAAAUAUUGGGAGAUAUGUCAAAUUCAUAUUGAUUAUAAUUUUAGAAAAAAAAAAAAAAAAAAAAGCAGUUAGAAUGAAUUGAUUGAAAAAGCAUCACUUAUUAGUUUCAUAGAUUGUAUUGCAGAAGAUAUUAAAUAAAAACAAAACACAAUACGCCUUCGACACCGAACUGCAAAUUACCUGGGAAUCUGAGCGAACGAAUCUGACGCCCUUGCCAGGAUAUGUCUUCGCCCCACUGAACCGGCAAAGUUCAGUCCUGAAAUCAUCCAGACCAGACAAGUUUAAUGCUCGUCAUGAUAACAUAUUGAAAACCUCAGAUGAGAUCAUUUGCAUAUAAAAAUGCUUCAUUCCAAGCCAUAUAAGUUUGAUGGUUAACAAUGGUGUCUCGAUGAGGUUAUUCGCACGGUCAUGACGAAUAUUCUCAGAGGUACAUCAGAUCCUAAAACCCCUUGGCAGACGCCCAAAAACCCUUUCAAGUGUCACAUAAUUUAUUUUUCUAGAAUUUAAUUUCUAAAAAAAAUUACUUUUCAAUAAAUAAAGAGGGAUUUAACUAACACCUCCCGAGUCCUAACGGAUAUUAUGGACCCGUAGGGUACAUAUUGCCCCUCAUGAUCUUGCUUUCUUCUUUUAGGGCCCGCAUGUUGAUAUUCACCAUCUUGGGCACUUCCGUUCUCCAUUGCCAGAGACGUUCGAGGCAGUGAAGCUCCCCAUCCCGCAUUAACGGUGGUUCUUCCCAUGAUGUUCUUCUAACUUUUUCCAGGUCCUGAGAAAAUAAGCUUGCAAAAAGUGAAGGUUAUAAAAUUGUCAUUCAGUAUCUUCCAGUUGAUGAAUAAUACUUACAUCUCGUCUCGUAAUUAGACGUAAUGUAUAUAACGUGGCAUUAGUUAAUUGGAAUUAAAAUAGAUUGUUUUAAAAAAAUCACUAGCAGAAUGACAUAUAAUAUUUUUAUUAGUUAUAUAAUAAGAUUUCUGAAAAAAAUACUGACAAAAUAAAACAUGUAAUUUUUUUUUGCAUGCUUUUCUGUCAAUAAAUUCAUCGAUAAUAAUAUUUUUUUAUUACAAACAAAUAAAAAUUUUUGAUUAAAGAUUCACUGAUAAGGUAUUUUUAUCUAUAAUUUUGUCAAUAAAUUAAUUACUAAUAAAAUAAUAACACAAAUACUAAUAAAAAAAAAUUCAUUAAUAAAUAUAAAAAUUUUAAUAGUGGAUAGGGGCCUGGUAGAGCUCAUGUCUUGACAAAGUCUAAAAAUGACAAGUGACAAGUUGACAACUUGUCAAAUUCAUAUACAUCUUGGUUGAGUAGCCAAAAAAAAACCAAUAAAUGCUGAUGUAUCAGUUUUAGUAAAAAAAAAACUUAUAACGUAGCUCGCGCUACAUUGCAGGUCAAUUUUUUUAUAUAAAAAAUAUUUAAAAAAGUUAAAAUUUUAAAGUGUUAGGUUUUUUUACAAAGUUAUACUUAAGAGCAUUGGGUCUAUCUAUUACUCCUAAUCCAAAAGUUAUAUUAAUAAUAAUAUUAAACUUGCAUGAUCCAAGUUUAAGUGAGUUUGGUUGCAACAUCAAACCUGAAGCCUUUGAUAUGAGUCUGGUUGCAAGAUUUUAUUAUAAAAAUGUGAUAAUUAAAAAGAAUAAAAAAUUAAUAUCACAGAAUAAAUAAAAAAUUAAUUGGAAAGAAAAAAAACAAUAAAGCAAAGCAUUAUUUCGAUGAAUAGUGCCUUGCAAGGAGGGGUACAGUAAAAUCCCCUCAUGAGAUCACAAUAAUUUAAUGACAAACAAAACAAAUUAUAAAUUUUAAUUCUUAAUCAAAUCGAUAUUAAAAAAAUGAAAUUGAAAGAAAAAAACUACUUAAGAAAAGGAAAAAGAAAAAUCUUAAUUAAUUGGUUUAACCCGUCAAACCUGAGAUUCGUGUCAUAAAAUUGAAAGAAAAAAGAAUGAUGUCUUUUAGUUAUAGUUAAUUACAAUAUUUAAAGAUGAAAUCGGAAGAAAAAACUAAUAAAGUAAAAGAAAAAAAAAUAUGAAUCAACUGGAUUGGCCCACCAAAUCAGGUUAACCCAUCAGACCUGAGAUCGUGUCAUGAGAGUGUGAUAACUAAAUAAAAAAAAAUUAACAUUAAUAAAAUAAAAUGAACAAAAAAAAGAUUAAUUAAAAAGAAAAAAAAGGAAAAAAAAAACCUACAUGAAGAAAAAGAAAAAAAAUCUGAAUUAACUGGGUUAACCCGUCAAACGAGGUUAAUCCGUCAAACCUGGGAUUCGUGUUAUGAAAGUUUGAUAACUAAAUAGAAAAAAACUUAAUAUUAACAAAAUAAAUUUUAAAAAAUAUAAUUAAAAAAAAAAGCAAAAAUACUAAACAAAAAAAAUAUUAAUUUAAAAAAAAAACAAAGAAAGAAAAGUCUGCAUGAAGAAAAAAACUAAUGAAGAAAAAGAAAAAAAAAUCCUAAUUAACUGGGUUAACCCUUCAAACCAAGUUAACUCGUCAAAUCUGGGAUUCGUGCCAUGAAUGUUUGAUAACUGAAUAGAAAAAAAAAAAUUUACGUUUUAACCUAGAAUUAGCUAGGUUAAUUCAUCAAACCCAGAAUCCGUGUCAUGAAAGUUUGAUAGCCAAAUAGAGAAAAUUUAACAUUAACAAACUAAAUUAAAUGAAAAAAUAAUUAAAAAGAAAAAUCAGAAAAAAUUCAGGUUAACGCGUCAAACCCAGGACCCAUGUAAUGAAAUUUUGAUAACUAAAUAAAAAAAAUUUAACAUUAAUAAAAAAAAUUAAACAAAAAAAAUAUUCAUUAAAAAAAACAAAAAAAACAAAACAACUUAAAAAAAACAAAGCAAAAGGCAAAAAAAAAAAACAGCUUAAAAAAGCAAAGCAAGCAAAAAAUAAAAGACAGAUAAGCGUUUCACUGUGGAUUGCAUUCGAAAAAAUUAAUUAAAAAGAAAAAUCAGGAAAAAAAAACCAGAUUAACCCAUCAAAUCCAAAACCUAUAUCAUAAAAAAUUGAUAAUUAAAUAGAAAAAAAAUUAACAUUAACAGAAAAACUCAUUCAUUAAAAAAAACAGCUUAAAAAAACAAAGAAAAGGAAAAAAAUAGUAAAAAAAACAAAGUAAAAACCAAAAAAAUUAAUAAAAAAAAGAAGAAGACAGAUGAGCUUUUUAUGUGGAUUGCUACAGUAAAAAACCGAUCCUUUUAGUAUAUUUCUAAUACCAGCAUUUAGAACCCUAUCGGACAUUCAAUUAAGUUUUAUUUGCGAAAUUGAACAAGCUUUUAAAAGCUAAUUUAAACACAUAAACGCAACAUUAAGGAAAAAAUUAUCAUUUAAUAAUGAUAAAACAUCACAAACAUAACGCAAGAAGUCAAAUGACUUCCUCGAAGCAAAUUUAUCAAACUUGGCCUGGGUUGACAGGUCGACCUGCGACCUGUUUACCCGGGCUUUCAAACUGGAUUGGAAAUUAAUUUUGUUAAACAAAGGUGAUAUGUUCUAUCAAUUAAUUUUUUUAAAUAAAAAACAACUUCGUUUAUUUAUGUUUAUUUAAUUAUUUAUACCUUUUAUAUCUAAACGAGCCUGGACUUAGAUCGAAUCAGAUGACGAGCCUGGUCUGAUAACUUAGCCUUGAAGUUUAUUCUGUUAGAUCAUUAUUGUUUGCUGUGUUAGGCAACAGAUAUCCCUCUAUUCAUACUCAGCUUAAUUUUUCAAUUUCGACUUUUAAAAAUAUGGAGAGAUAUAUGUCAAAUUCCUAUCGGUUCUGAUUUUAAGGAAAAAUAAAAAUUUAUUAAGAAUUAAAAAAAUGCUAUUUUUUAUAUAAUUUGAAAAAAAUAUUUUAAACUUUAUUUUAUAAAGCUAAAAAAUUACUAAAAAAUAUAUUUAAUUUAUAUUCAUGUAUACAAUACUUGUUAAUUUAUUUAAUACUUGUUAAUUUAUUUUUUAACUUUAUUUAAAGCCAACAAUGAUUAAAAAAUAUAUUUAAUUUUUAUAACACUUUUUUAUGUAUUCAUCAAAAUUUUCAUGAAAAAUUAAAUUGAAAAAUCAUGGCUAUGAAAAAACAAAAAUACUCAUUUACUCCCUCAAAUAUGUUUCAUCAGUAAAUCCAUAAUUUUUCUUCGCUGAAUAUCAUUAGAUUUUCAUAAAAAUAUAUUAUUAUAAAAGUGAACAUCUUAGUGAUUUUUUAAAAUUUUAUUAUUAUUUUUAGAGUUCUUAAUAAAAUUUUCUUUAAAUUAGAACCAAUAGAAAUCUAACUCGUGUUCUUCCAUAUCUUUAAAAGACAAAAUUAAUGAAAUAUUACGUUUACUCUGAACAGAGAGAUCUAUACUGCCUAGUAGACAAAAUCAUAGAAACCCAAUUAUAUAAAUUUAAACCAUAAGGAUAUCUUUAUCAAAUAUCAAUAUAUCAGAGAGAUUCAUAGUACCAUCAAACCAAAGUUAUACCUAAACUUGUCAUGCAAUAAAACACGUGCAUAUUCAUACAAUAAAAAUAAUAAAUAGACGUAUUUCUCCCUUUCUAUUACAAAGAUCAUUGCAAUACUUAGUAGAUGCAAACGGAAGGGAUGUGAGCUAUCUUAGGCCAGUCCUCUCCUCGCUCCUUCGAGCACCUUUUCUUCAAAUUUGGACAAUGGUUAAUCAUCAAGUGGCUGAGGUUGCUGAGACUCUGUAGCCCUUCUGGCAAACAUACCAAAUUAGGGCAAUCCUGAAUUUCCAGGCGUGAAAGGGAUAUGAGAUAACCAAUCUGAUUUGGCAAGGAAGUUAAUCCCUUGCAUUCAUAGAGUCUUAGAGAUCGGAGAGAAGUAAGAUGUUGGAUACUCUUUGGCAAUGAAUUCAGCUCUGGACAAAGUUCAAGCUCCAAGAUUUCAAGUGCCGUCAGAUAUUGCACUCCCUCGGACAGAGACACAAAUUUAUCACAAUUUCUAACAGAUAACCUACGAAGAGAAGAUAAGCCGGACAACCCAUUCAUUGGCAGAGUGUAUAAUCUUGUACAACUAUUUAUCUGUAAAACCUCCAAAGAAGUGAGUUUUCGAAGACCUUCCUCUGGCAAGCUUUCAAGUUCAUAACAAUGCUGGAUACUCAAGCUUUUAAGAGCUGAAAGGUUGUCAAAUACCUUAUUUGACAAAGACGAUAGAUUUCUCAUCCCAACCAUACAUAAGGACUCGAGGAGUGUAUGAUUUUGCAAGAACCCAUCUGGAAUCAGCCUCGCAUCAAUCCUUGCAAUAAAAAGGUAUGUGAUAGAAGUAAAUUUCAUAACUGACAUCAGUAACGAAACAUUGCCUUCAGUGAUGUGUAAGCUUUUGACGGAAGGUAUAAUUGGUAUUUCGGUCAACAAGGGGCAAAGAACUACAGAUAAUGCUUUAAGACGAGGAAAACUACACGGAGCCCAUUGCUCUAGUCUCUCCAUUGAAAUAAAUGUCAGGCUCUCCAAAGAUGGGAAUGGAUUUUGCUCAUCUCCAUACACAUGGCUGUCAAUACACUUCACACCAUCCAUUCCAUCUAGUUCAAGAUUCUUGAGGAACUGUAAUUUCCCAAAUGGUGGAAGUUGUUCACAGUUGCCACAUGCUGUUAGCUUCAUCUCUACUAGAUUCGGUAGCAUCAAGUUCAAGUUCAUCAUCCACUUUGGAAAUUUUGAACCCCCAUAUCCAAUUAAUCUCAAUUUCUUCAGAUUUGAAUGAGGUUGAAGCCCAUCAAGGACAUCCUCAUUACUUUCAGCUGAUUGCACACAAGUAAAAGGGCGGCGACCUCCAUUCUCAUUCCAAGAUAAAUUCAGUGAUAGAAGAGUUGUCUUCAACUUCAAAUUGGCACUUCUGGCAUCUGUUAAAUUCUUAACAUUAACAAGAUCUGUGAUGCUUAGUUCACCAGCAAGAUUAUUCAGCCUUUCUAGCUCCCCUAAGUGACGACCAUCCUCCUUACCCACAAUGAACAGGCCAAGUUUUCGCAGGCAUAUUAAUUGUCCCAUUCCAAAUGGCAUAAAUCGAAGUGAAUCACAGCCCGUGAUGUCAAGAUAGAUGAGACUUUUCAUAUGCUUCAUACCUCUAGGUAAUUGGAUGAGCCGUGUACAAUGACUCAGAUUUAGUGUCUGUAGAUUUUGGAGCGAGGUGAUUGAUGCAGGCAAUUUUUUAAUGUGGGAAUUGGAGACAUCUAGAAACCUUAGAUGUUUCAAAUAACAAAUUGACUUUGGCAAUGUAUUGAGAUAGGUACCUAUAUGCAAGGCUCUCAGAUGCUUUUGUUGGGUGAAAUAAAGAUGCAAAUCAACACUCACAAGGCGUGUGUGAUGAUAAAAUCCAGAAAGCAAAAUUGAGCGUAGAGACCUAGAUUUGAAAUCCUUGUCUUCUGGAACAAACUGUGAUGAGUAUGCACCCACAUGACGAAUUGUUUUAGGAAUUUGCAACUUUGUAUUGCCCUCAAUCAAACAACAUUCUCUCUUCAUAAUGUACUGUGCAAGAUCAUGGAUAAGAUCAUGCAUUUUACAUGUCAUGUAGCCCAGCGAAUAUACCUUAACUUCUUGAAAAAAAGACCUCCCAACUAAUUCGUGGAAAAUCUCUUCACCCUUAUCGUGCAAAUCCAUUUGCCCAGUGCUCGAAAUGAAGCCAUUUGCCAUCCAUAGAGCUACCAACCGCUCCUUCCGAAUGACAUAAUCUUUGGGGAAUAUAGAGCAAAAUGCAAAGCAUUGCUUCACAGCUGGCUUUAGAUUCAUAUAACUCAAACUCAAGGCAGGUAAUAAUAUCUGGCUUCCUUCAUUUGGCAGAUCCCAAAUCUCACUUUCUUUGACAGACAGCCACUCCCUUUCACUUUUCUUCGAGCGCAUCAGGCUUCCGACUGCUCUUAUAGCCAACGGAACUCCGCUACACUUCUUAACUAUCGCUGCUCCAAUGUUUUCCAAGUGACCAUACUCCUCUCUCCUUCUCAUACCAAAUGCAAGCUGCUUAAAUAAAAGCCAGGAAUCCUCAUCCGACAAUGUUUCCAUAUGUUGAACAGGAUUUGUGGCCAUUUUUUCAGCCAUAGUUCCCAAACGAGUAGUCACAAUAACUGCACUUCCUUUAGCUCCACAACUCAAUGCAUCUUUCAACUUGCUCCAGUUAUCAUGGUCAUCAUCCCAAACAUCAUCCAAUAUGAGCAAAAACUUCUUACCACCUAAAUUUUCUUGGAGGCAUCGUAGAAGAGCAUCCAACUGUUGAAUAUUUGGAGUAGUGCGUUGAAUGGACUCGAUGAUGGCUGCUGUCAAUCUUUUUAUGUUGAAAUCAACUGAUACGCACACCCAAAUCCGCAAAUCAAAAUGCCCUUCUAUUCUUCCGUCGUUGUAGACUAAUUGAGCAAGUGUUGUUUUACCCAAGCCCCCCAUUCCACAUAUAGCAUAAAUAGAGAAAUCAUCUGAACUGGUGAGCAGCAUGUUGACCAGAUCUUCUUUCUCCUUGCCCCUUCCAUAAAUUUCUGAUUCAUUCACCCAUGACCAAGUCUGACGCCAAUCAAAACUAUCUGCUUCUAUCUCCAAAGCCCCUUCAAUUAAAUGGAAAUCGUGUCUCCCCUUGGCAAUGCGAUCUAGUGUUUCUGUAACAUUCUUCAAUUUACGAGCCAUCCUUUGUCGAAAAACAAGAGGAUUAUGAUUGAUAGAAAAGAAGCAUGUUAGCCAAUUUUUGAGAUCUCUUCGCUGCUGAUGCCACUGAGCUUCAAAAGCAAACUCAUCCAGUACAUCAUCAACAACAUAAGCUGCAUCCUUGAGGUCGCUGAGCCACACCUUGAUAGGCUUACUCUUCCACUGCUUCUCCUCUGCAUCUUGCAGCACAGCUUGAAUGGUUCUGAACGUGCGCUUGAGAUUUUCAAGCUCGGUCGUUAGGCCCC